CCUACGGGGGGCUGCAGUGGGGAAUAUUGGACAAUGGGGGCAACCCUGAUCCAGCCAUGCCGCGUGUGUGAAGAAGGCCCUCGGGUUGUAAAGCACUUUCAGUGAGGAAGAACGCCUGGUGGUUAAUACCCAUCAGGAAAGACAUCACUCACAGAAGAAGCACCGGCUAACUCCGUGCCAGCAGCCGCGGUAAUACGGAGGGUGCGAGCGUUAAUCGGAAUUACUGGGCGUAAAGCGCGCGUAUGUGGCUUGAUAAGCCGGUUGUGAAAGCCCCGGGCUCAACCUGGGAACGGCAUCCGGAACUGUCAAGCUAGAGUGCAGGAGAGGAAGGUAGAAUUCCCGGUGUAGCGGUGAAAUGCGUAGAGAUCGGGAGGAAUACCAGUGGCGAAGGCGGCCUUCUGGACUGACACUGACACUGAGGUGCGAAAGCGUGGGUAGCAAACAGGAUUAGAUACCCUAGUAGUC
rnacentral:rRNA from 1 species